GACGAACGCUGGCGGCGUGCUUAACACAUGCAAGUCGAACGGAAAGGCCCUGCUUUUGUGGGGUGCUCGAGUGGCGAACGGGUGAGUAACACGUGAGUAACCUGCCCUUGACUUUGGGAUAACUUCAGGAAACUGGGGCUAAUACCGGAUAGGAGCUCCUGCUUCAUGGUGGGGGUUGGAAAGUUUCGGCGGUUGGGGAUGGACUCGCGGCUUAUCAGCUUGUUGGUGGGGUAGUGGCUUACCAAGGCUUUGACGGGUAGCCGGCCUGAGAGGGUGACCGGGCACAUUGGGACUGAGAUACGGCCCAGACUCCUACGGGAGGCAGCAGUGGGGAAUAUUGCACAAUGGGCGGAAGCCUGAUGCAGCAACGCCGCGUGCGGGAUGACGGCCUGCGGGUUGUAAACCGCUUUCGCCUGUGACGAAGCGUGAGUGACGGUAAUGGGUAAAGAAGCACCGGCUAACUACGUG
rnacentral:rRNA from 1 species